GAUGAACGCUGGCGGCGUGCCUAAUACAUGCAAGUCGAGCGAACAGAUGAGGAGCUUGCUCCUCUGACGUUAGCGGCGGACGGGUGAGUAACACGUGGAUAACCUACCUAUAAGACUGGGAUAACUUCGGGAAACCGGAGCUAAUACCGGAUAAUAUAUUGAACCGCAUGGUUCAAUAGUGAAAGACGGUUUUGCUGUCACUUAUAGAUGGAUCCGCGCCGCAUUAGCUAGUUGGUAAGGUAACGGCUUACCAAGGCAACGAUGCGUAGCCGACCUGAGAGGGUGAUCGGCCACACUGGAACUGAUACACGGUCCAGACUCCUACGGGAGGCAACAGUAGGGAAUCUUCCGCAAUGGGCGAAAGCCUGACGGAGCAACGCCGCGUGAGUGAUGAAGGUCUUCGGAUCGUAAAACUCUGUUAUUAGGGAAGAACAAAUGUGUAAGUAACUAUGCACGUCUUGACGGUACCUAAUCAGAAAGCCACGGCUAACUACGUG
rnacentral:rRNA from 1 species